GAUCGCAAUUAGCGGGCCGUCGACGGAAAGUGUUCGAUUGGAUUUAUGAAGAAUUCGACUUAUUAUUUUCGGACACUUGCGCAUGCUAGGCAUACUUUAAAUAGGUGUAUCAGAAAUGGAAUUUUAAAAAUACAUUUCGUACAGCGGCACAGAUUGUGAAAGGCGUUCGUUCGCCUCCGUUGACAGAGAUACAGAUGCGAAUGCAGCAAAGAUACAGAUACGGCGUAUAGCUGUGAGAGAGACGGCGAGUCAGUGGGGGACGGGUAUGAGCACAGGUUUGUACGCGUACGGAACGGUCCAACGGAUACGUUGUGGCCUGGCAGGCACGCGACUUCCAACUGCACCACUGCGUCUGGGGCCAACCACUUGGCCGCCUGCCCCACGGCGGUGCGAGAACUCAGCCAACACACACACACACACUCGCACAAACACACAAACAAACGCAGUGGAGGUGGGCGGGGCCAGCGUUGCAUACGGCCUGCCAAUUCAGUGAUGGAAUGUGCGUGCGGCUUCUAGUCGAAAUUUACAUCCAACGAUUCGUUGAACGAACAGCAAAUUGAGACCGCAUAAAAAGGAAG